AUUUUGAGGUCGGAAAUGGUUCCCGACACACUCUAUUUAUAGAGUACCUGAGAUGCUGGAUACACCGCCCAGCCAAGA
rnacentral:ncRNA from 1 species